UACAGAGGGUGCGAGCGUUGUUCGGAAUUACUGGGCGUAAAGCGUGCGCAGGCGGUUGUGUAAGACAGAUGUGAAAUCCCCAGGCUUAACCUGGGAACUGCGUGUGAUACUGGAUGGCUUGAAUUCGGGAGAGGGAUGCAGAAUUCCAGGUGUAGCGGUGAAAUGCGUAGAUAUCUGGAGGAAUACCGGUGGCGAAGGCGGCAUCCUGGACCGACAUUGACGCUGAGGAGCGAAAGCUAGGGGAGCAAACGGGG
rnacentral:rRNA from 1 species